GUUUGGCGCUCCCUUCGAUUUUGGUGGCCUUUUUUUCUCACUAUAUUUGCGCCCCUCUUGCUCUUUCUCCCUAUAUCCCCCAUGUGGUGCCGUCCCCCCUUCUCGCUCUUUCUGCGCAUGCCCCCACUCGCUCUGUGCCCCUUCUCGCUCUCUCUGCGCAUGCCCCCCUCUUACUAUAUGCCCCCUCUCGCUCUCUCUGCGCAUGCCCCUUCUCGAUCUCUCUGCGCAUGCCCCCUCUCGCUCUGUGCCCCUUCUCGCUCUCU